ACGUACGACCAUACCCGGCGGAAAGCACGGCAUCCCGUCCGCUCUGCCCUAGUUGAGCCACUGAGGGUCCGGUCAGUAAUUGCGUCCGUGUCGACCAGCGAAUCCCGGAUGUUGUACCUU
rnacentral:rRNA from 1 species